GUCCCGUUCGUCUAGUGGCCUAGGACACCGCCCUUUCACGGCGGUAACAGGGGUUCGACUCCCCUAGGGGACGCCA
rnacentral:tRNA from 1 species